CGGGGAGCCUUCAGGAGCGGCCGAGGAGUUGCUGCAGACCCUGCCGCGAGGGCAUCGGCCUCCGGGCGCGGCCAGAUGAGGCGGACGUUCUUAGGAGAACGCUGAGCAAGGGGCCACAGUCGGUGACUCUAGGAAACUGCCAGCGGGCGAGGCGGCCUUCCUCGGCACCGGACGUGGAUUCUCGUCCCCGGACGUCCGAGAGAUAAGUGGAGGGCCGGGACCCUGAGAGGGGAUGGAAGCGAGGCGCUGGGAGGGCUUUUGGAGGCAGCUUUGGAGAUGGGGGUGGCCCU